UGCCAGCAGCCGCGGUAAUACGGAGGGGGCAAGCGUUAUUCGGAAUCAUUGGGCGUAAAGGGCGUGUAGGCGGCCUGACAGGUCAAAGGUGAAAUCCCUCGGCUCAACCGAGGAACUGCCUUUGAAACCUUCAGGCUAGAGGCCGGGAGAGGCUAGCGGAAUUCCCAGUGUAGCGGUGAAAUGCGUAGAUAUUGGGAGGAACACCAGUGGCGAAGGCGGCUAGCUGGACCGGUUCUGACGCUGAGGCGCGAAAGCGUGGGGAGCAAACAGGAUUAGAUA
rnacentral:rRNA from 1 species